rnacentral:rRNA from 1 species
UCAUUAACGAAUAUAAUUCGAGGGGUUGUCGCUGGCCUCGCUCGCGCGAGGCAUGUGCACGCUUCUCGUUUUUCUCUCAACUCACCUGUGCACCUAAUGUAGGAUGCCUCUCCUCCGGGAGGGGGGACCUAUGUCUUCGUAACAUCUUCGUGUAGAAAGUCUUUGAAUGUUUACUAUCAUCGAGUCGCGACUUCUAGGAGACGCGAUUCUUUGAGAUAAAAGUUAUUACAACUUUCAGCAACGGAUCUCUUGGCUCUCGCAUCGAUGAAGAACGCAGCGAAAAGCGAUAUGUAAUGUGAAUUGCAGAUCUACAGUGAAUCAUCGAAUCUUUGAACGCACCUUGCGCUCCUCGGUGUUCCGAGGAGCAUGCCUGUUUGAGUGUCAGUAAAUUCUCAACCCCUCUCGAUUAGCUUYGAGAGGGWGCUUGGAUAGUGGAGGUUGCCGGAGACUUGGAUUCGUCCGAGACUCGGGCUCUUCUGAAAUGCAUCGGCUUGCGGUCGACUUUCGACUAUGYGCGACAAGGCUUUCGGCGUGAUAAUGAUCGCCGUUCGCUGAAGCGCAUGACUGAAYGUCCCGUGCCUCUAAUAYGUCGACCGCUUAUUAUCUCUCCGGAGAGAACAGGGUCUUCCUUAUUGACUUUUGACCUCAAAUCAGGUAGGACUACCCGCUGAACUUAAGCAUAUCAAUAAGCGGAGGAAAAGAAACUAACAAGGAUUCCCCUAGUAACUGCGAGUGAAGAGGGAAAAGCUCAAAUUUUGAAUCUGGCGGUCUUUAGGCC